UACGUAGGGGGCAAGCGUUGUCCGGAUUUAUUGGGCGUAAAGAGCUCGUAGGUGGUUCGGUAAGUCGGAUGUGAAAUCUCCAGGCUCAACCUGGAGGGGUCAUUCGAUACUGCCGUGACUAGAGGUCGGUAGGGGAGUGUGGAAUUCCUGGUGGAGCGGUGAAAUGCGCAGAUAUCAGGAGGAACACCGAUGGCGAAGGCAGGUCUCUGGGCCACUACUGACGCUGAGAAGCGAAAGCAUGGGGAGCGAACAGG
rnacentral:rRNA from 1 species